rnacentral:rRNA from 1 species
CCUACGGGAGGCAGCAGUGGGGAAUAUUGGGCAAUGGGCGCAAGCCUGACCCAGCAACGCCGCGUGAAGGAAGAAGGCUUUCGGGUUGUAAACUUCUUUUAAGGGGGAAGAGCAGAAGACGGUACCCCUUGAAUAAGCCACGACUAACUACGUGCCAGCAGCCGCGGUAAGACGUAGGUGGCAAGCGUUGUCCGUAUUUACUGGGUGUAAAGGGCGUGCAGCCGGAGAGACAAGUCAGAUGUGAAAUCCACGGGCUCAACCCGUGAACUGCAUUUGAAACUGUUUCCCUUGAGUGGCGGAGAGGUAAUCGGAAUUCCUUGUGUAGCGGUGAAAUGCGUAGAUAUAAGGAAGAACACCAGUGGCGAAGGCGGAUUACUGGACGAUAACUGACGGUGAGGCGCGAAGGCGUGGGGAGCAAACAGGAUUAGAUACCCGAGUAGUC